rnacentral:lncRNA from 1 species
GUCAACUGCAUGGAGCUUCGUUCAAGUAUUUUCUGAGCCUGAUGGAUUUACAGUGAUCUUCAGUGGUCUGGGGAAUAACGCUGGUGGAACCAUGCACUGGAAUGACACACGCCCGGCACAUUUCAGGAUACUAAAAGUGGUUUUAAGGGAGGCUGUGGCUGAAUGCCUCAUGGAUUCUUACAGCUUGGAUGUCCAUGGGGGACGAAGGACUGCAGCUGGCUGAGAGGGUUGAGAUCUCUGUUUACUUAGAUCUCUGCCAACUUCCUUUGGGUCUCCCUAUGGAAUGUAAGACCCCGACUCUUCCUGGUGAAGCAUCUGAUGCACGUUCCAUCCGGCGCUCAGCUGGGCUUGAGGACUUCGCAGGUGAGCAGUAACGGAAAUCAGCCCCGUUUACUCCUCCCAGCACCUGCCUUAUCCAACUCCCCACGCUGUGGCUGAGUCCCAGCCUGCUAUGGAAGCAUCACUGGACUCCCAAUGAACUCUGUACAGAUUUCGCUGUUCGUAGACAUGGUACCUGAUGGACACCAAGCUACGUACAGCUUCACCUUCCACAUCCAAGGCCCCUUCUUUCUUUGCUAAUAAAAAAUAAAA